rnacentral:rRNA from 1 species
UAACCCUUUGUUGUCCGACUCUGUUGCCUCCGGGGCGACCCUGCCUUCGGGCGGGGGCUCCGGGUGGACACUUCAAACUCUUGCGUAACUUUGCAGUCUGAGUAAACUUAAUUAAUAAAUUAAAACUUUUAACAACGGAUCUCUUGGUUCUGGCAUCGAUGAAGAACGCAGCGAAAUGCGAUAAGUAAUGUGAAUUGCAGAAUUCAGUGAAUCAUCGAAUCUUUGAACGCACAUUGCGCCCCCUGGUAUUCCGGGGGGCAUGCCUGUUCGAGCGUCAUUUCACCACUCAAGCCUCGCUUGGUAUUGGGCAACGCGGUCCGCCGCGUGCCUCAAAUCGACCGGCUGGGUCUUCUGUCCCCUAAGCGUUGUGGAAACUAUUCGCUAAAGGGUGUUCGGGAGGCUACGCCGUAAAACAACCCCAUUUCUAAGGUUGACCUCGGAUCAGGUAGGGAUACCCGCUGAACUUAAGCAUAUCAAUAAG